rnacentral:rRNA from 1 species
UACGUAGGGACCAAGCGUUGUUCGGAUUUACUGGGCGUAAAGGGCGCGUAGGCGGUGCGGUAAGUCACUUGUGAAAUCUCUGAGCUUAACUCAGAACGGCCAAGUGAUACUGCAGUACUAGAGUGCGGAAGGGGCAAUCGGAAUUCUUGGUGUAGCGGUGAAAUGCGUAGAUAUCGGGAGGAACACCUGUGGCGAAAGCGGCGCACUGGACCACAACUGACGCUGAGGCGCGAAAGCUAGGGGAGCAAACAGG